AUUGAACGCUGGCGGCAGGCCUAACACAUGCAAGUCGAACGAGUGGCGGACGGGUGAGUCAUGUCUGGGAAACUGCCUGAUGUAGGGGGAUAACUAGUGGAAACGGUAGCUAAUACCGCAUACCAUCGGUUAGGCCGCGAUGGGAUUAGCUAGUAGGGGGGGUAAAGGCUCACCUAGGCGACGAUCCCUAGCUGGUCUGAGAGGAUAACCAGCCACACUGGAACUGAGACACGGUCCAGACUCCUACGGGAGGCAGCAGUGGGGAAUAUUGCACAAUGGGCGCAAGCCUGAUGCAGCCAUGCCGCGUGUAUGAAGAAGGCCUUCGGGUUGUAAAGUACUUUCAGCGGGGAGGCGGUACCCGCCGAAGAAGCACCGGCUAACUCCGUGCCAGCCGCCGCGGUAAUUC
rnacentral:rRNA from 1 species